rnacentral:rRNA from 1 species
UAAAGCGGGGGAUAGCCCAUAGAAAUGUGGAUUAAUACCCCAUAGUAUCACUUAGUUGCAUGACUAAGUGAUUAAAGCUCCGGCGCUUUAUGAUGGGCAUGCGUGGCAUUAGCUAGAUGGUGAGGUAACGGCUCACCAUGGCAACGAUGCCUAGCUGGUCUGAGAGGAUGAUCAGCCACACUGGGACUGAGACACGGCCCAG